rnacentral:misc_RNA from 1 species
GGGGAGACCGUGGUUGUGGGGUUGGGGAGGAAGAGGAAACCCUGCAUCAUAUAGACAUAAUCAGAGAAAACACACACACUACAUUUUAUAAAUUCAUCAAUAAGGCCCUGUUGAGUAACUGACAAUAAUGGCCAAUAAAGCUCGGAUAGUUCACAAUUAUGGUGAUCAUGUAGUUAACAGACGCAAUUCUAUUAAUCACAAUUACAUGUUCGUAGAAGGCUACAAUUAGAUACAAUUAGAGCUCAUCCAACAAUUCUAGCGAUCAGCUAGAAUUAUCAUUGAAUUAAGAUAUUGAAUUUAUUUACAGCCACACCAAUGUAAAGAGGAA